rnacentral:misc_RNA from 1 species
AGCAGCCGCGGUAAUUCCAGCUCCAAUAGCGUAUAUUAAAGUUGUUGCAGUUAAAAGCUCGUAGUUGAAUUUCGAGACCAAUAUGUCGGUCGUGCCUCGGUACGUACUGGCAUCGUUGGUUUCUCCUUUCUGAAGAACCAUGAUGUCAUUUAUUUGGUGUCGUGGGGAAUCAGGACUGUUACUUUGAAAAAUUAGAGUGUUUAAAGCAGGCUCACGCUUGAAUACAUUAGCAUGGAAUAAUGAAAUAGGACGUUUGAUUCUAUUUUGUUGGUUUCUAGGAUCGACGUAAUGAUUAAUAGGGAUAGUUGGGGGCAUUAGUAUUCAAUUGUAAGAGGUGAAAUUCUUGGAUUUAUUGAAGACUAACUACUGCGAAAGCAUUUGCCAAGGAUGUUUUCAUUAAUCAAGAACGAAAGUUAGGGAUCGAAGACGAUCAGAUACCGUCGUAGUCUUAACCAUAAACGAUGUCGACCAGGGAUCAACGGAUGUUGCUUUUAGGACUCCGUUGGCACCUUUUGGGAAC